UCCCGCCUGCCCAGUGACUCUUUAAACGGCCGCGGUAUCCUAACCGUGCAAAGGUAGCAUAAUCACUUGUCCCCUAAAUAGGGACUAGAAUGAAUGGCUAAAUGAGGACAAAACUGUCUCUUACGGACCAGCCAAUGAAAUUGAUCUUCCAGUCCAAAAGCUGGAAUAAACCCAUAAGACGAGAAGACCCUGUGGAGCUUUAAAACCAAAACCACCAAACAUGUUUCUUGGUUUUUUAGUUGGGGCGACUUUGGAGAAAAAAUAAUCCUCCAAAUAAUAAAUCCACUUAUUAAGAAUAACACACCAAAAUAAUUAAAUAGACCCAGCAACAUUUUUAUGUUGUCUGACCAAUGAACCAAGUUACCCCAGGGAUAACAGCGCCAUCCUCUUCUAGAGUCCCUAUCGACAAGAGGGUUUACGACCUCGAUGUUGGAUCAGGACACCCAUACAGUGCAGCCGCUGUAAAAGGUUCGUUUGUUCAACGAUUAAAGUCCUACGUGAUCU
rnacentral:rRNA from 1 species